UACGGGGGGGGGCAAGCGUUGUUCGGAAUUACUGGGCGUAAAGGGCGCGUAGGCGGUUGGAUAAGUCAGCUGUGAAAACCACGGGCUUAACUCGUGGCCUGCAGUUGAGACUGUCUGGCUUGAGUGUGGGAGAGGAGAGUGGAAUUCCUGGUGUAGCGGUGAAAUGCGUAGAUAUCAGGAGGAAAACCGGUGGCGAAGGCGGCUCUCUGGACCACAACUGACGCUGAGGCGCGAAAAGCUAGGGGAGCAAACAGG
rnacentral:rRNA from 1 species